AAUGCAGAAAAGACGCACGAGGUACGCGCUAAUGUGCAUACAAGUUGCACUUGUAAGAAGUGUUAAGUUUAUUGCUGCUCUUUGGGUUAAAGGAGAAGAAAUUAUAACCUUCAAGUUUAUUCCUCUUGAGUUAGAGAGGCCAAUGAGUUCUGACGGCAUUUGGGCAUUUUCGCAUCUUUGGAAUUUCGACACUAUCGGCAUUAUUGGCAUUAUUGGAGCAUAAGGCUACAAGACAUAUUGAAGACUUGUCCAAAAUAAAUGUCUGUUAAAAAACAAGAA